rnacentral:rRNA from 1 species
UACGAAGGGGGCUAGCGUUGUUCGGAAUUACUGGGCGUAAAGCGCGUGUAGGCGGGUCCUUAAGUCAGGGGGGAAAUGCCAAGGCUCAACCUUGGAACUGCCUUUGAUACUGGGGACCUUGAGUCCGGGAGAGGUGAGUGGAACUGCGAGUGUAGAGGUGAAAUUCGUAGAUAUUCGCAAGAACACCAGUGGCGAAGGCGGCUCACUGGCCCGGAACUGACGCUGAGACGCGAAAGCGUGGGGAGCAAACAG